UUCCGAGUUCAUCCGUCAACGGAAAAAACUCGUCAAUUAUACGCGCCUUUAUCACCGUCAUUUGUGCGUUUAGGGGCGUCGUCACUUCCCUUCCAAUGUUGAGCGAGUGGUUGGAAAACUAUAAUUCUAUAUUGUACGAAUUAUUCGGCAAAUUGAAUUCUCAAAAUUGACAAUCAACACUGCUGUCAUUAGGGAAUUGUCAGUAAGUACCUACAGAGCAACCAUUAUUUCUAGUUCAUCCUGCACAAAGACGAUCACUAAGACGCUUGAUGAACGUAAAUAGUGCAGGGAUACAGGCGAGCCCCUCUAUCUGGUAAAUGACGUCAUAAAGGCGUGCAUAAUUGACGAGUUUUUGCCGGUGACGGAUGAACUCGAAAGUGGUCUAUUCAUGGAAUUUUAAUCGUUAUUUACCUGCUUGUUUGCCUUGGAUUAACAUUUAUUUAAGAUUCUGUUUUGACAAAUGUUCAUACGAAAAUUGUGGAUGAAUUAUGGGAUAUUAAUGAAAAAA
rnacentral:lncRNA from 1 species